UAUCACUUUGUUCAAUUAUUGUGUUUGAGCCAAAUUAAUCAAGUUCAGAUGGUCUCCCUUAAACAAGCUUUUCUCUUCAUUGCUCUCUUUGUUGCAAUUUCAGAAUAUCAGUACAGUAAAAAAAAAAAAGAACGAGAGAUCGAGAAACGGAGAAAACGGGGAGAAGAAAAGAGUUUGAGAUUUUUCGGCGAGGUUAUGCCGAAAACGUCAUCAACUCAUCGAAUCCGACCCCCCGUCAUGAAGACCCGUCGAAAUUUCCAUCUCAUCGGUGACUAAACAGCAUAUCCACCACUGGAAAACAGCAAUUCGCCGGAAUCCGUUGUUGCACCAUUCCCUUCUUCACUUUUCCCGCCUCUGUUAUGCCAUGGCCAUCCAGAUCUGGCCGGUUUUGACUACUCAGCAAAUCGCCGGCAAGCUAUCAACCGCGCCAUGAACCAACGGCGAAAUCAACCGGCCCCACGCCACCGCCGCACCCCUCUCCCUCUUCCCUGAACCAAAAUUCGACUCUUGUGGUCAGUUCCGGCGAACCAAAUUGCCAGAAAAACACCACCUGUGCCGACCUUCCCCCUCUCUCCUUUUCCAUCAUUCAAAUUUCCUUUGCCUAACCAGAUCUGCCGGUAACCCGAUGUCAAUCCCGACUUCCAUCAUUCAAAUAAUGGAGUAUGAAGUGAUGAUAGUGAGAUUGGAAAUAUGUAAUGGAAUUGUAUGAGUGAAUAUUGUGUUAACAGGUUUAGAAGUAAUAUUAAUAAAUGUUGGAAGAGAUGAAUUUUGUGUAUUGAUGGAAAAUUGGAAAAAUGGAAGCAGCGGUGUUUUGGAAUUAUGUGUUUCAAGAAGAAAAAUACAUGACAGCGUAUAAAUUGUUUUGUUUGG